GACGAACGCUGGCGGCGUGCUUAACACAUGCAAGUCGAACGGAAAGGCCCUGCUUUUGUGGGGUGCUCGAGUGGCGAACGGGUGAGUAACACGUGAGUAACCUGCCCUUGACUUUGGGAUAACUUCAGGAAACUGGGGCUAAUACCGGAUAGGAGCUCCUGCUGCAUGGUGGGGGUUGGAAAGUUUCGGCGGUUGGGGAUGGGCUCGCGGCUUAUCAGCUUGUUGGUGGGGUAGUGGCUUACCAAGGCUUUGACGGGUAGCCGGCCUGAGAGGGUGACCGGCCACAUUGGGACUGAAAUACGGCCCAGACUCCUACGGGAGGCAGCAGUGGGGAAUAUUGCACAAUGGGCGGAAGCCUGAUGCAGCAACGCCGCGUGCGGGAUGACGGCCUUCGGGUUGUAAACCGCUUUCGCCUGUGACGAAGCGUGAGUGACGGUAAUGGGUAAAGAAGCACCGGCUAACUACGUG
rnacentral:rRNA from 1 species